UACAGAGGGGGCGAGCGUUGUUCGGAAUUACUGGGCGUAAAGGGCGCGUAGGCGGCCCGCUAAGUCAGACGUGAAAUCCCCCGGCUCAACCGGGGAACUGCGUCUGGGACUGGCGGGCUCGAAUCCGGGAGAGGGAUGCGGAAUUCCAGGUGUAGCGGUGAAAUGCGUAGAUAUCUGGAGGAACACCGGUGGCGAAGGCGGCAUCCUGGACCGGCAUUGACGCUGAGGCGCGAAAGCCAGGGGAGCAAACGGG
rnacentral:rRNA from 1 species